GCAAGUCGAGCGAGAAAGCACUUCGGUGUGAGUAUAGCGGCGGACGGGUGAGUAACGCGUAGGAAUCUACCUGGUAGUGGGGGACAACAUGGGGAAACUCAUGCUAAUACCGCAUACGCCCUAUGGGGGAAAGCGGGGGACCUUCGGGCCUCGCGCUAUCAGAUGAGCCUGCGUAGGAUUAGCUUGUUGGUGAGGUAAAGGCUCACCAAGGCGACGAUCCGUAGCUGGUCUGAGAGGACGAUC
rnacentral:rRNA from 1 species